UACGGAGGGAGCUAGCGUUGUUCGGAAUUACUGGGCGUAAAGCGCACGUAGGCGGCUUUGUAAGUUAGAGGUGAAAGCCUGGGGCUCAACUCCAGAACUGCCUUUAAAACUGCAUCGCUUGAAUCCAGGAGAGGUGAGUGGAAUCCGAGUGUAGAGGUGAAAUUCGUAGAUAUUCGGAAGAACACCAGUGGCGAAGGCGGCUCACUGGACUGGUAUUGACGCUGAGGUGCGAAAGCGUGGGGAGCAAACAGG
rnacentral:rRNA from 1 species